rnacentral:rRNA from 1 species
CCUACGGGAGACUGCAGUGGGGAAUAUUGCACAAUGGGGGGAACCCUGAUGCAGCGACGCCGCGUGGGUGAAGGAGUAUUUCGGUAUGUAAAGCCCUAUCAGCAGGGAAGAACAAUGACGGUACCUGACUAAGAAGCACCGGCUAAAUACGUGCCAGCAGCCGCGGUAAUACGUAUGGUGCAAGCGUUAUCCGGAUUUACUGGGUGUAAAGGGAGCGCAGGCGGCGCGUUAAGCCUGGUGUGAAAGUCCGCGGCCCAACCGCGGGACUGCAUUGGGAACUGGCGCGCUGGAGUGCCGGAGGGGUAGGCGGAAUUCCUAGUGUAGCGGUGAAAUGCGUAGAUAUUAGGAGGAACACCAGUGGCGAAGGCGGCCUACUGGACGGUGACUGACGCUGAGGCUCGAAAGCGUGGGGAGCAAACAGGAUUAGAUACCCGAGUAGUC